AAUGUGUAUCAGCCUACCCAUAUGACAACAUUAUCUUUGUGGAGAAAGAAUGCUCUACUUGCAAGAUUCCUAGACAAGCCAGGGCAAAGCACUGCAGAAUAUGUGAUAAAUGUGUUGCUCGAUUUGAUCACCAUUGUGGAUGGAUGAAUAAUUGCAUUGGGGAGAAAAAUACUCGCUAUUUUGUGGCCUUUUUGGUUUGGUGAAUUUUGCUCAGUUUUUUCUACCUUAUAAACUUUAUAUGGUCU